rnacentral:rRNA from 1 species
GAUGAACGCUGGCGGCGUGCCUAAUACAUGCAAGUCGAGCGAACAGACGAGGAGCUUGCUCCUCUGACGUUAGCGGCGGACGGGUGAGUAACACGUGGAUAACCUACCUAUAAGACUGGGAUAACUUCGGGAAACCGGAGCUAAUACCGGAUAAUAUAUUGAACCGCAUGGUUCAAUAGUGAAAGACGGUUUUGCUGUCACUUAUAGAUGGAUCCGCGCCGCAUUAGCUAGUUGGUAAGGUAACGGCUUACCAAGGCAACGAUGCGUAGCCGACCUGAGAGGGGGAUCGGCCACACUGGAACUGAGACACGGUCCAGACUCCUACGGGAGGCAGCAGGAGGGAAUCUUCCGCAAUGGGCGAAAGCCUGACGGAGCAACGCCGCGUGAGUGAUGAAGGUCUUCGGAUCGUAAAACUCUGUUAUUGGGGAAGAACAAAUGUGUAAGUAACGAUGCACGUCUUGACGGUACCUAAUCAGAAAGCCACGGCUAACUACGU